UUUAUAUUAGUUGCCUUUUUACAUAUCUUGUAUAGCUUUGAUAUAGCAACCCAAACUUCUUCCUUUUUGAAGGCUUUCCAAAGUGCUUUUCUUGAUAUGUGAUUAUAAGUUAUCUUCAAAUCAAUGGAAACCAUGUAUAAGUCUCUAUCUUUGUUUCGAUACUUUUCGUUUAAUUUCCUUAGUAGAUAUAUCACAUUUAUUGCAGCCCUUUCCUACAUGAGCCAAAUUGGUCUCAAAAAUAUCAGUCUCCAACCUUAACUAAUGUUCAAUUACUCUUCCCUGUAAUUUUAUUGGAUGGCUCACAAGCUUUAUCCUUUUGUAGUUUGCACAAUUUUGAAUAUCCUUUUUAUUCUUGUAAAUGAGAGUUAAAGUGCUUCUCCUUUAUUCAUUAGGUAUCUUCUUAGACUGUAAAAUCUUAUUAAAUAGCUUUGUCACAAUAUCCUCUCUUCACCUAAACAUUUUCACAUUUCAAUAGGGAUUCUAUUAGGUUUAGUGGUUGUACCAUUUUUCAUUUUCUUGAGAGCAUCUUUAAUCUUGCUAUCUCAAAUCCUAUGAUAAGGCAUCAAAUUCUAUUCUUCUCGAGUUAAGUCCUCCAAUUUGUCUUUAAUAUCUCUAUUUGUAACCAAAACUUUUCGAACACUAGGAAAAUGAUGGGAAGCUAGUUGAUAAAGAAGGGUAUCAGUGACUUGUGGGGAAACUCAUGUCUUUCCCACGACACUAGAUAUUACUUUGCUGUAAGUGUAUUAAGUCAACACUUUCUGUGUCCUAAAUAGAGGCAUCUUGAGGUUGUGCGUAGGAUUCUAAAGUGUUUGAAAAGCACCCUAGGACAAGGCCUCUAGCUUUAAAAGAUAAAUCAGACCCACAUUCAAGUUUAUACUGAUGCGGAUUAGGUAGGCUCACUUGAAGAUAGCCAGGGUGACCGUUUGUGGGGAGAAGUCUAGUUACCUGGAGAAGCAAAAAAUAGAAUAUAUUAGCUGUAAGUUGUGCUGAAGCCAAAUUCAGAUCUGUUGCACAAGGCAUUUGUGAAGGAUUGUGGCUUAAGAGUGCUUGGAGAGUUGCAUAUUCCAUUAGAUUCUCCUAUCAAGCCCUAUUGUGUUAAUAAUGCAGCCAUGAACAUCUCCUAUAAUCCUGUUCAGCAUGAUAGAACUAAGUUUGUGGAAGUUGACAGACACUUCAUCAAAGAUAAAAUAGAAGAAGGCAUUGUUUGCAUGCAUCCCUUAUGCACCAAGAAGGAAUGAAAUAGCUGAUAUAUUAACAAAGGUUCCCUAAAAAGUGGAAUUUGAAGAUUGUGAGCAAGUUGGACAUGACCAAUAUCUAUGACCCAACAUGAGGAGCGUGUAAAUAUUUAAGAUUUUAGAAUUUAAUUUACUUAUCCUUAUUUGUAAAUGUUUAAUUGUCUAGGAUACUGUAGAUAUUUUAUUUUUUACCUGCCAGAUACUGUAAAUCCUAGUAGAUCCCUAUUAUUUCGACCAAGUGCUCUCUCUAAGCUAUAUUUAUGUUUUGUCCUCCAUAUGAAUGAAAAUAUGACUCUUCUUUGGUCUAUCUUGUUCAAAAUUAUCUUUUACUUUUUCAAGUAUGUAUUAUAUAGGCUUUUAUAGUUUUGUAUGCUUUAGGUUGCAGUUGAGAAGUCUACGGUGGACAAUUCACUGCAUGGGUCAACAAAAGAAAUUGAGAUUGGGAAGAACGGCACUGUCAUUAAGAAUGACCUAGUUGCAGUUGACGAGUCUAUGGUGGAUGAUUUAGCAGCUGGACAGACAAAAGAAGUCAAAAUUAGGAAAAACAACAAUGGCAUUAGAAAAGAGCAACGGUAUACAGAUACAGUGAAUGAACAUUAUUCCAAGCAGGAUGGAUUUCUCUGUAUUGAGUCAGGAGAUAUAAGCACAUGUUCGUUUGAGCCAAAUAAAAGACAAAUUAAAAUUGAAGACUGAUAUGAUAGAGAGAGAGGAAGAAAGAGAGGGAUAUGAUAAACAGAGAACUGAAUAGUGCUCAGACAUUGUGAAUAACAGCAUAGCAUACAUCUAGGUCUAAACAUCUUAUUUAUAGACUAGGAGCCUUAACUUUCAUAAUUACUAAAACCCAGCUAACUCUUAUUAUAUAUAUUAUUUACAUAUCAAUAACCCCCCUUAAACAACCCUCGUCCUCAAGGUAGGAAUGGGAAAAUUUGGAAAUUGCUUCUGAUAACUGGACUGUGACAUCCAGGUAUCUUCCUCAUUGGAUCAAAAUUUCAGCAAUGAUCCUGCUUUUCUUUCUUCCUACCCUUUUAUUUAAUAUUUUCUUAGGAACUAACGCUGCUUGGACUUCCGGCCAAUCUUAUGGGGGAUGUCUCUGUUUAACUGAAGGAUUUGGACAUAGCUUGUGUAAUGAUACAUGGAAGGUUGAAUGAAUCCUGGACACAAGGUAAUUGCAGCUUGUAGGGGACCUUCUUUACUCUUCCUAUCACCUUAUAUGGUCCAAAGUAUCUUGGUGCUAGCUUUUGGGUGCUUCAAGAGGCAAUUGAGAUCUGUCUAUAGGGUUGUAGUUUCAAAAAACCCACUGCCCUAUUUCAAAUUCACAAUCAGACCUCUUUAAAUCAGCCUUAUAUUUCAUAUGAUUUGCUUCACUUCUUAAGUGAUGCUUUAAUACCCCAAUCAUGCGUUCUCUUGCUUUAAAGCUUUUAUCUACUUCCACUAUCGCUUCCCUAGGCUAGUGAGGAGUCUAAAUGGAUGGCUUCUGAACAUAAAGCAAUUUAUAUGGUGUUGCUUUAGUUGAAGUGUGAAAGCUGGUGUUGUAUCACCAUUAAGCCAAUGUUUACAACUUGCUCCAUAAUCCCAAAUAGUAUAAUGAAAACUUUUAAGCCAUUUCUAGCCUUAAAUUAUGUCAUAAUUUCUCAUAUUCUUUUCUAGCUAACCAUAUGCCAUUCCAUUUGAGGUUGUGCCUGCAAAACACCCAUCCUUCCAUUAAGAGUCAUAAUUCCAAAAAGCGUAAUGAAGACUUUUGAGCCUUUUCUAGCCAAAAACAAUGUCAUUAUUUAUCAUAUUCAGGACUCUUAAAUCUCUAGAGAACUCCACAACUUGCAUUCUCCAUUUGAACACUUUCCAAACACCAUAAACUUUCAAUCUUUAUGCUGUAGCUAUCAUUGCAUCUGCCCAAUCAUUUUCUUGUUCCAUCCCAUCUUCUUUGCCAAUUCAUAAUCUAGGAAGUCGUGGCCAUUUCCAUUUUCAAUCAGAAUUUGAAUUGGUUUUGUGAGAAUAGUCAAACUUAUAUUUAAUAUACUAGAAAGAUUUAUUCCUUAAACAUAGGGAUAUAAUUAGAUGAGAUCAUAGGAGUUAAUAUUUUAUUCUUGAUUUGAUUUUAUUUCCUUUAUAGUUGUUAUUUGUAAACUAUAUAUGUAUAGUGCAUUUGUGAAUAAUAUACACGCUCUUGAGAAAUUCCAAACCACAUGGCAUCGGAGCCAAUUCAAUCAGUCGAGGUUUACAGAGUCACAUGAUAGCGUGCACGUUGAUUCCACUAAGUUUGAUUCUAGGCGUUCUCCACUGGCAUGACAGGCAUCGCACAACACGCCAGGGUCUAGAGCUGCACAAUGAGUCUAGAGCUGCACGUUGGUCAGCAGUCUUCUGCGAGCGUCUGUGAGCGUCUUCUCCUGGCGUGACAUUCUCGAGUCACGAUGCAUGAGAACGUAUAUUCAUUAGUAUUCUUUGGCGUGGUCAAUGUUAGUUUUUUUCCUCGCACUGUGCGUCUCUCUCUCUUUAGAUUCCAUCAGCAGAAUCGUAUCACACCUAGGUUCAGACUCAUGUGUUCCACAGCUUCCAACUAUGGGUAUUGGUUUUGGCAUAGAAAUUGACUCAAAUAUUAAUCCAUAUGGUGGAACUUCCCAAGGGUUGAGUUCUGCCGAAGGGACCUCUACUCUUCUCAUCUCAGAAAAAUUCAAUGGCUGCAACUAUUGAGAAUGGGCCCAAUCAAUCAGACUUGCUAUUGGUAGAUAAGGCAAGCUGGGUUUAAUCACUGGCUACUCUGAGGUUCUAGAUGCAUUAGACUCGAAGGCUAUGGUGACGUGGGAGAUUGAUAAUUCUAGGGUAGCUUCAUGGCUGAUUAAUGCUAUGACACCAUAAAUUCGACGCUCCUUCAUGUUUCUUCCAAUGGCACGAGAUAUCUGGGAAGCAGUUAAGGGGUCAUAUUUGGAUGGUGAAGAUGGUGCACAUCUUUAUGAUUUGAAGACACGAACUUGGCAGAUCAAACAAGGCGAAUGAGAGGUAACAGAAUUCUAUUUGGACCUAGUUGCUAUAUGGCAAGAAAUUGAUCUCAACACAGAAGAGGUAUGGUCCUAUUCCAUUGAUGCAGUAAGGUACAAGCGUUGUAUUGAAGAUGAGCAGGUUUUUCAGUUCUUGGUUGGCAUUCAUCACUCACAGAUGAUGUUCAAAGUCGCAUAUUGGCUCGCUCCCCAUUACCAUCAACUCGUGAUGCUUUUGCUGAAGUUUAUCGAGAGGCUUCUCAUCGUAAGAUGAUGUUACCUACUCCUUCUUCUGUUCCUCUUUCAUCUGAAUCUUUUGCUUUAAAGCAGGCAUUUUGAUCAGGGAUAAAAAGAUGCAAAAGGCAAAAUUGUUUUUGACCAUUGUAAGAAGACUAGCCACUCGAAAGAUAAGUGUUGGGAUCUUCAUGGGAAGCCCCUAACUAGAAACCUCGUAAAGGUAAGUGUCAUGGUUACUGGGCUACAUCUGAGUCUAUACAAGGCAAACUUACUUCUUUACUAGCUGUUGAUAAGGACCAGUUAAACAAGCUCAUGGAAAUGCUUCAAUCCUUACAAUCCAUCUAGUCAUCCUCUCUAUCAUAUAAUGCUUCAGUGGCUAAGAAAGGAUCCUUCAUCGAGAUGAUUGGGAAUGCUGAGAAGUGUAAUGGACUCUACUACUUGGACGAGUCAACCGUUGUGCUUGAGAAUUCUACAGUGGAUGAUUUACAACCUGGGUCUACACAAGAAGCUGAGAUGAUUACAAAAGAUAUGGUUUGCAACACACUCAUUGCUAUUGGCCUAGAGGGAUUGGUGGUCGCCAUUAUUCUAGACAAGCUCUCUAGUGAGAAUUGCAGAGAGUGGGUUGAAUCCAUGAAGCUUGUGAUUAAAGGUUGUGGAAAACAAGGAUGCAUCUUUGGUAAGAUUAGUGCUCGAGGUUUUGAACAAGGCUUUGAAACUAUAUGAGUUCAAAAAUUCCACGGUUUCAUCUUGUCUUGUCAAUUCGACAACCUACCAUAAAAAGGAGCUUCAUGUUUCUCCCUAUAGCUUAUGAGAUAUGGAAAGCAGUUUGUGAAGCCUAUUCAAAUGGUGAGAAUACGUCACAAAUGUUUGAGAUUAGAACUAAGUUCUGGCUAGUGAAUUAAGUUGAAAAAAGUGUACCUCUAGCAUAGAGGCUGAUAAAAGUGUGUUUUGAAAAUGGGUCAAAGAUUUUGAACCCCUUCUAAGUAGUGGAAUA